rnacentral:tRNA from 1 species
CCCGGCUUGGCUUAACGGUCAGAGCAUCACGCUGAGAACGUGAAGGUCCGGAGUUCGAUUCCCGGAGUCGGUU